CUACGGAGGGUCCAAGCGUUAUCCGGAUUCAUUGGGUUUAAAGGGUCCGCAGGCGGGAAAAUAAGUCAGUGGUGAAAGCCUACAGCUCAACUGUAGAACUGCCAUUGAAACUGUUUUUCUUGAGUAUAGAUGAAGUGGGCGGAAUAUAUCAUGUAGCGGUGAAAUGCAUAGAUAUGAUAUGGAACACCGAUUGCGAAGGCAGCUCAAUAAACUAUUACUGACGCUCAGGGACGAAAGCGUGGGGAGCGAACAGGAUUAGAAACCCUGGUAGUCC
rnacentral:rRNA from 1 species